rnacentral:rRNA from 1 species
UCAAGCUACAAAGGGCGCAAGGAGAAUGCCUUGGCACUGGGAGCCGAUGAAAGACGUGGUAAGCUGCGAUAAGCUUCGGGGAGGAGCAAACAUCCUUUGAUCCGGAGAUUUCUGAAUGAGGAAACUCACCAGAGUUCAUACUCUGGUAUCCUGUACUGAAUCCAUAGGUACAGGAGGGGAACCGCCUGAACUGAAACAUCUAAGUAGGGCGAGGAAGAGACAUCAAACGAGAUUCCGUAAGUAGUGGCGAGCGAACGCGGAAGAGGGCAAACCGAGAGUAGAAAUACUUUCGGGGUACGGACUGCUUUUAAGACUCAAUCUGUUAACCGAACGGCAUGGGAAGGCCGGUCAGAGAGUGUGAGAACCACGUAGGUGAAAACGGAGAGAGCUGCGCAGGAUCCAGAGUACGGCCAGACACGUGAAACCUGGUCGGAAUACGGGGGGACCACCCUCCAACCCUAAAUACUACCCAGUGACCGAUAGCGUAUAGUACUGUGAAGGAAAGGUGAAAAGGACCCCGGGAGGGGAGUGAAAUAGAACCUGAAACCUUGUGCCUACAAGCACAUAGAGCACAUCAACGUGUGAUAUGGUACUUUUUGUAGAACGGUCCGGCGAGCGAUUGUAUGUUGCGAGCUUAAGGUCUUAAGGACUGGAGGCGUAGCGAGAGCGAGUCUGAACAGGGCGUUCAGUAACAUGCAAUGGGCCCGAAACCGGGUGACCUACCCAUGAUCAGGCUGAAGUGAAAGUAAAAUUUCAUGGAGGGCCGAACCGACCUCCGUUGAAAAGGCGGCGGAUGAAUUGUGGGUAGCGGAGAAAUUCCAAUCGAACUCGGAGAUAGCUGGUUCUCCCCGAAAUAGCUUUAGGGCUAGCCUCAUAUUAGAUACCCGGAGGUAAAGCACUGAAUGGCCUAGCGCCCGAGAGGGUAGCGAAGCCUAUCAAACUAAGAAUGCCGGAGUAUUGAUGUAUGGGAGUCAGACAGUGUGAGAUAAAUCUCAUUGUCAAAAGGGAAACAGCCCAGAUCUACAGCUAAGGUCCCAAAUUGUAUCUAAGUGGAAAACGAUGUGGAAAUACGCAGACAACCAGGAUGUUGGCUCAGAAGCAGCCACUCAUUUAAAGAGUGCGUAAUAGCUCACUGGUCGAGCGUCUCUGCGCGGAAAAUUUAACGGGGCUAAGAUACAAACCGAAGCUUAGGCUGCACGUAAGUGCGGGGUAGGGGAGCGUUGUGUAAGCGGAGAAACAGUAGCGUAAGCGGCUGUGGAGUUUACAGAAGUGAGAAUGCCGGAAUGAGUAGCGCGAAUGUGGUGAGAAUCCACAUGGCCGGAAACCUCAGGUUUUUGGAGGAAGGUUCGUCCGCUCCAAGUUAGGCGGGAGCUAAGGUCAGGCCGAAAGGCGUAGCCGAUGCACAGACGGUAGAGAUUCCGUCCCCACCGAAAGAUUUAAGCACAGGGACACUUUUUGAAGGUCGGAGCCAGGUGUUGGUUCUGGUAGUGAUCGAGGGAAAUAUAGUACCGAAGUCCGGCUGGAUGAGAGGCGAGAAAAGCUGUGUGUAUAUCUAAGGUGCCCGUACCGCAAACCGACACAGGUAGGUAGGAAGAAGAUUCUAAGGCCAACGGGAGAAGGGUUGUUAAGGAACUCGGCAAAUUGACCCCGUAACUUCGGGAGAAGGGGUGCUCCAGAGAUGGAGCCGCAGAGAAUCGGCCCAAGCAACUGUUUACCAAAAACACAGGUUUGUGCUAAAUCGAAAGAUGACGUAUACGAGCUGACGCCUGCCCGGUGCUGGAAGGUUAAGAGGAGAUGUGCAAGCAUUGAAUCGAAGCCCCAGUGAACGGCGGCCGUAACUAUAACGGUCCUAAGGUAGCGAAAUUCCUUGUCAGGUAAG